UACGUAGGGAGCAAGCGUUGUCCGGAAUCAUUGGGCGUAAAGCGCGCGUAGGUGGCCCCAUAAGUCCGCUGUGAAAGUCAAAGGCUCAACCUUUGAAAGCCGGUGGAUACUGUGGGACUAGAGUACGGAAGAGGCGAGUGGAAUUCCUGGUGUAGCGGUGAAAUGCGCAGAUAUCAGGAGGAACACCGGUGGCGAAGGCGGGUCUCUGGGCCGAUACUGACGCUGAGGAGCGAAAGCGUGGGGAGCGAACAGG
rnacentral:rRNA from 1 species